rnacentral:rRNA from 1 species
UACGGGGGGAGCAAGCGUUGUUCGGAUUUACUGGCGUAAAGGGCGCGUAGGCGGCCAGCACAAGUCAGUUGUGAAAUCUCCGAGCUUAACUCGGAAAGGUCAACUGAUACUGUGCGGCUAGAGUGCGGAAGGGGCAACUGGAAUUCUUGGUGUAGCGGUGAAAUGCGUAGAUAUCAAGAGGAACACCUGCGGCGAAGGCGGGUUGCUGGGCCGACACUGACGCUGAUGCGCGAAAGCCAGGGGAGCGAACGGG